GAGUGAGCGGGAAGAGCUCAAAUUUGAAAUCUGGUGGCCUCAGGUCAUCCGAGUUGUAAUCUAUAGAAGUGUUUUCCGUGCUGGCUCAUGUACAAGUCCCUUGGAACAGGGCGUCAUAGAGGGUGAGAAUCCCGUCCUUGACAUGAACUACCAGUGCUCUGUGAUACAUUUUCAACGAGUCGAGUUGUUUGGGAAUGCAGCUCAAAAUGGGUGGUAAAUUCCAUCUAAAGCUAAAUAUUGGCGAGAGACCGAUAGCGAACAAGUACCGUGAGGGAAAGAUGAAAAGCACUUUGGAAAGAGAGUUAAACAGUAUGUGAAAUUGUUGAAAGGGAAACGAUUGAAGUCAGUCGUGCUCUUUGGAUUCAGCCGGUUCUGCCGGUGUACUUCCUUUGAGUGGGGUCAACAUCAGUUUUGAUCGCUGGAUAAAGGCUGGAGGAACGUAGUACCCUCGGGUAAACUUAUAGCCUCCUGUCACAUACAGUGGUUGGGACUGAGGAACGCAGCACGCCUUUAUGGCCGGGAUUCGUCCACGUACGUGCUUAGGAUGUUGACAUAAUGGCUUUAAACGACCCGUCU
rnacentral:rRNA from 1 species